GGGCCAAUUAUACCCUUACCGUUAUACUUUGGGCCAAAUAUACCCUUGAGUAUAACGGCAUGCCACGUGUCAGUCUAUCAUUGGCCAACUUAUUUCCCUUUUUAUUUUUUAUCAUCCGGAUCAUGAUCAUACAGAUCCGACCCAAAUCCAUUUAGUAUCCGACCCGUCACUAACUUAUCACACCCAAAUAAACAUAAACCUAACAGAUCUAACGCCUCUCUCUCUCUCUAAAAAAAAUGCAAACCUCUAUCAUCUUCAACCUCCAUAGCUGACUUCUCUAUUGGAAAUCCUAGGUUUUUCAUGAUCCGAAUUCAGUCCAUUUAAAGGCUCAAGAAGGGACUGCUUGAUGCAGUAAAGAAUGUAUUGCCUGAAGCACAUCAGAGAUUUUGUGUAAAGCACAUUGAGGCAAAUUGGUGCAAAAGGUGGAGUAAAGGUGAGUUGAAGAAGCUUCUGUGGUGGGGUGCAUGGUCCUCUUAUGCUGAGGAGUUUGGAGACCAACUUGAACAGAUGAAGCAGUUGGAUAAACCUGCUGCAAAGGACUGUGUUGAAAUGUGCAGAAACUGUGUUGGUUAUGUGCAGAAACUGGUUAAAUGUGAAGAAAAAUGAGGCAAAUGGAGCCGAGUUUAGAAAACUGAAAGAGGAAAUAUGAUAACCAAAAUGCUUUCAUUUGGUCAAUAGUAUUUGUGUGCUUGUGUUGUUGUAAUAUGGUAGAAAGCAAAUGUACCCUUAAGGCACGAACACAUGUAAUUGUCGUGGGGAAAAAUACCUUUUACUUUUUUGUGUAAUGGAUGGUAAUGUAUAAAUGAAUUCGUACCAAUGUUAUCUGGUGUUAUUCAUGCUA